UUUUGGUUUUUUGUUUGUUUGUUUUUUCUUCCUUUACUCUGUCCAGGCUCCCAGGUCUCCCCAGCAUCUCUGCCCCUGAGCUCUGCAUCCCUCUGUGCUGGUCUGUGGCCCAGCCACCCUUUCCUGAGCUUGAUCACGGUGACAUCUGGUCCCUGCAUAACUCGCAUUCCUCAGGGGGAGGGGGGAAGCUGCUGGCCACCGGGAAGGGCCACAUCCUUCUCUGGGCCACUCCGGAUGAGCUCAGCCAAAUCCCUCGGCCGUAUCCACCCCUGCAGACAGACCCAGCCCUGUCCCAGAUGCUCAUCCCGGGCAAAAAAAAGAGGUGGCCAAGGGAUGAGCAGGCUGCAGGUUCCCCUUUCCUUCUGGCUUCUGAGGGGGAAGGUGAGGUUCCUCAGUGUCACAAGCUGACCCCGGGCCAUGGAGCUUUUGCUAAACCACUAAUCACCACAAAAACCCUCAAAAAAAAUCCCCAGAAACAGCAACUGUGCAGCUGAGCUGGUGUCACUCAGUAUGAAAGGUGCAAAAAGCACCGACUGCUGCACAGUGUGGGAUGGAUUCUGCAAAACCAUGGAAAAUCCUCCUGGAUAAGGGCAUUUGUGCCAGGAAGUGCCCGGAGAGGAGCCAGCCCCCUACAUCUGCCCUCAAGGACUUUGCCUUUCACCAGCCCUGCUGCCUGCCCAGGAUGUCCCUGGAGAAGCCUCCCCACCAACAAGAGUCACCCAAAGGAGAUGAGCCAUGGCUGGGCUCUGCUCCUGUCUGUGCCCAGGGAAUGAGGGAGGAAGCAUCAUGGAGAGGAGCCUCCAAACAGGCUCACCCCACUUGGACAAAGGAAGGUGUUUUUUUUAAAUAAGAAUACAACUUCCCACAAGUUAUAGCUCAUAUCUGCACCAAGUGACCUGCUCAACUCAGCUGGGAGAUGUCUUUGCAAAGCUUCCCCUCUGAUCUGGGUCACUGAGCAAAGACAUAACCCUUACACCUCUUUGCCUCCAAUGCUGUGUCUGCCUUAAGGGGUAUUUUCAAGCAGAGCCAGUGAACCAAGCUCUCUGCCACCCUUUCU